UGAAAACUUGGGGCAAAUUUAGGCAAAGUCUGGUCCGAAUCCACAUGAAUCUCUGAAAUGAAGGCCCCACCACAUCUGAACAGAAACAAGGAUGAGGAGAUCGGGCUCCGAAGGAAAAGGUUUCACAUUUUUCUGCAUUUCGUCUGUGCAGAGAUAAGAACUGGAGGGCCAGCAGAGCACAAUAGGCUAUUCUUGUAAUUCAGAUGUGACUGGGCACCGUGAGUACCUCUGUUCUUGACCCUACACCCACCGUGAAGUGGGAAUGUUCUUAUCUUUUCCCAGAAAGCACAGCAGAAUGAAUAAUGACAAUUUUACUGAAAGUCUUGGGGAGACCAAAAAGCUCUACGAAUCUUGGGGAGAUAGUUUCGGUGUAUGACAAAACCUAAUAAAAAUUCCCAUUAGUCAUAAAUGUUUUCCUUCCAAAGGGGAAAGAUUUCGCAUUUCCUUCAUAUCUCUUCUGGUUUUUUUUCUAUGUUUAUCCAUUUAUUUUGAGAGAGAGAGAGAUAGAAUGUGAAUGGGGGAGGGGCAGAGAGAGAGAGAUAGGAAAAUUUUGCUGCUGAAUUGCAAUUCAUUCAUUCAUUCAUUCAUUCAUUCAUUCAUUCAAUGUUUCUUGAGCACCCCCUAUGGGCCAGGCAGUGUUCUAGGCCCUGGGGAAAUAGGGACAAACAAGAUUGAGAAGAUUCCUGUUCUCACCGCUCUCACAUUAUGAGGAAGGGGGCAGACAUAAACAAGAACGUAUCAGAUGUGAUAAAGUCUUUGAAGAAAGCUGGCCAAGAAUGGUGGACAGGGCUGUGUUGGGGUGACGGAUGGAGACGGCCUUUAUGAUCAGGUGACAUUUGUUGAUUUAACCCUCUAAGUUCACAAAAUACAUUUCAAGUUUACUUUUUACGGCUUCCUCUCAGAGUCUGAUUUGGGGGUUGGUGUUCUAACACCACCGGUGUGAGAUGGUACAGCUCCCAUCGCAGAGGUAAGUGUGGAUAUAGACCAGGGAUUGGCAAGCUUCCAUAAAGGGCCAGAGAGCGCAUGUUUUUGGCUUUGCAGGCCAUUUACAGCUUUACCAUUGUGUUUGUAGCACAGAAGCUGCCUUAGCAAUAGGUAAAUGAGUGGAGGGGCUGGGAUGUGAUAGAACCUUAUUGACAAAAGCAGGUGGCAGGUCGUAUCUGGCCCACCCACUGUAGUGGACUGACCUCUGAUCUGGACUGUGCUUUGCCUUAGUUUACUGCCCCCCACCAACCCCCACCCUUGGCGGGGGCAGCAGCUUCAAAGGGGGAAAGCCCCUAGCCUUAAUUGUUCUUUGUUAGAAAAAAAUACAAAUUAAGGUAGACUAAAAGAAACUUAAAUACAGAGAACAAACUGAGGGUAGCUGGAGGGCAGGUGGAUGGGGGAAUGGGCUAAAUGGGUGAUGGGCAAUAAGGAGGACACUUGUGGGGAUGAGCUCUGGGUGUUACAUGUAAGCGAUGAAUUAAUCACUGGGUUCCACUCCUGAAGUCAAGACGACACUGUACGUUAAUGAACUUGAAUUUAAAUUAAAAAAAAAUGGUAAAAAGAAAGAUGCUUUCUCCACAAAAAAAGAUAGACUAAUUCAGAAAGUUUAUACCAUAUAAAAGAAAAAUUUUUAAAAAAAAGUCUUUUUUUAAGUUCACGUUUUUUUUU